GCCCGAGUGGUGGAAUUGGUAGACACAGGGGACUUAAAAUCCCCCGGUCAUUGAGACCGUGCCGGUUCAAGUCCGGCCUCGGGCACCA
rnacentral:tRNA from 1 species